GUGUGGCAAUUCUAUUCACGCCAUUUUGCCCACGGUACUAUCCGGCGCUAGCGAAAAUCGCGCGAUUUGAUUGGUCGGAUCCGGACGAGAUUUCUGUUGAUGAUACCUUUCGUACAUCAUGCUAUUGCGACGAUAAGUGGCGUGAUGCGCUGCUGCUGGGUACGUUGUCAUGGUAACCACGCCGGCGCUCCUCUGUUAUUUCAGUUUCGGCUUGAUUGGGCUUGAUGGGCUUGGUAUUUUGAGAUUUUGAGCUUAUUGUUCAUUGAUGUGAAGUGUAGAUCUUUUUAAUUUUUACUGACCUGUUUUAUAUUAAUAUUUGUAUAUACCUAUUUCUAUUUCUCUAUCUAACUCGGCCAGAUGCCCAAUAUAAGGGCUGGUCGGGUUUUCCGGCCUAGGAUUAACACCGAGGAGGAUCUAACUCCGGAGAAGUUCAGAGAGAGAUUCCGACUAACCUCGGACGUAGUGGGCCAGAUAGUCCGAGUAAUUGAAGACGACAUCAGUCACCCUACCAGGCGAAACAUGGCCCUGACACCGAGGCAGCAAGUGCUGGUCACCCUGAGGGCAGCUUCUCCGCUGCGUCAUCAAGACACAAUCAUCAGCAAGCUCAUCUCAGGGCUGUGGAUGAAGACGACGGCCUGCAAAGCUACAUCCUUGCAUGACCUUAGUCUUAAGGCUCCUUCCUCCAGCUCCUCUGCUGACUUCAUGCUCCUCUCUUCACUUCAAUUCUUCAGCAUGACAAAACAAAUCUUUCACAGCAAACUGCAGCAUCUUGGUUUUGGAGCUUCUUGGCAUUCUCUUUCGAUACAUUACACGGUUUACAUUUCAUCACAUUGCAUUACUUGGUCAUAGUCGCAAUGAUUUGUUGCCACUGCUGCCAAAUGAUGACAAUCUCUUCCAUCCCUUUAUGCACCUUGUCCCUUUAUCCACCUUGUGCCCUUCUGUUAUGCUUCUGAAUCUUUACUUAUUUCUCUUCAAUGUCUGCUAAGAUAUCCUAAGUCCUAACAAAUAUUUCAAUAUAUGUUUCAGCUUAUGAGGAAUCCUAGAACCCAUGUGUAUCUUCUUGUCAGUGACACAUGUAGCUAGCUGAGUUUGACUCUUUCUCAAAUGCUCGAGUCCAGCUUUCUGAACCUGAAGUGUUGCUAUUUCUUUGAUUUGUCAUACAUUUUGACAUGCAGCUGCGGGCACUGAUGUGUGCCUCUGUGAUUGAAGAAAUAGGCAUAAUGUUUUGCAUGUCCUAGUUUGCUUCCAGCCUCAUACAGUAAAUUGUGCCUGGGCUCUGAAGGACCAUAGCAUGCCACCUAGGUACAAUUACAUAGCAAAGGACAUUCAUCAUGCUGUACCUUACCCCUUGUAGGUACCUUUCAUCAGUUGAUCAAUGCUUUUCUGUGGAAUACGACUAUCCCAACCAUUCCAGCUUCAUAAUGCAAAAUAUGACAAAACAAAUGAUCCGAAACAUGUCCCCAGGUUCCUGGCCACCGGCAGUUUUUACACGGUGGUCGGUGACGCCCACGGUCCUAGCCGCGCCACCAUCCACCGCACCAUACAUCGUGUGAUGGCUGCCUUGGUACACAGGCUGUUGGGGUUGAUAAGUUUCCCUCAGACCAGGGAGGCCUGCCGCGCCGUGCAGCUGCGCUUCUUCGAGAUGGGCGGCCUGCCAGAUGUCAUCGGGUGCAUAGACGGCUGCCACGUGCAGAUCCGAGCCCCAGCGAGGGAGGAGAACGCGUUCAUUAACAGACACCAGCAAACUUCCCUUAACGUCAUGGCGGUUGCCGGGCCCGACGGAAAGUUUUUUGCCGUCAGCGCCCAUGCUGGGGGUCGGCAGCACGACUCCCGGGUUCUGGCGACAUCCGGCCUCCCAGAGAGGCUGGAGAGGAACGCCCUGGUACCUGUCGAGGAGCCCGUCAUCUUGGGAGACAGUGCCUAUCCAAGCCGCACGUGGCUGCUUACUCCCAUAGACCGACCAACCACUGAGGCCGAAGAACGGGCCCAACACAUGCUGCUGGCAGCAGUAUGGAUGCUGCUUCAACUCGACAUAGACUUGGGGAGCAAGACUGGACGCCGACCAGCAUAACAUACAAUAUGCUAUCCACAUUUAUUUUUCAGCAUGCCAUCGCUAUUAAAACGAUUGAUGUGAUUUGAUCUUAUGCAAGCCUCUUUCACGACUUGACCUCUUCUUUGGUUUCAGUCUUCUUUGCUGGCUGUGCACUUUCUCUGGAAUGUCUUGUUACCUUCUUCGUCCACAUAUGCCAUCCUCAUUUCUUUUUCAGCAUGCCAUCGCUAUUAAAACAAUUGAUGUGAUUUGAUCUUAUGCAAGCCUCUUUCACGACUUGACCUCUUCUUCGAUUUCAGUCUUCUUUGCUGGCUGUUCACUUUUGCUGGAAUGUCUUGUUACCUUCUUCGUACUUGCACAUACAAUUUAUAUCAAUGGCAGUGUGCAUGGAUCUUCUUUCUCAGUAAUGUAUGCUGUCUUACCCCAGAAAUACCAGUGUUUGAACAGUGAGAAGAGUGUGGUGCACAAUGUCAAGCUCAUAGCAUGAAUACCUUUCGGGGUUUGCCUUAUGCUUUAUUGUCACCAUCCGGAUUGAGAAUGUCAUGCACACUUCUGCAGCUUUUCUGUUGAUGGACAGCACUUCCCAGUUCAGCUUCAAAUCACUAUUGAGGGCCAGCAAUAUGUGCUGUGUUUCUUCUGCACGUUCCUGUCGCAUCCUUCACGCACUUACAUCCCAGGAUUUUGCCCGUUCAUUGUCUGUUGGUUAUUUGUACGUUCAUUCUUUAUCAUAUGGAAAGUAAUGUAUUUAUGGAUGUUUUUCUUUCAUUCAACUAAUGUUCACCUGCAUUUCAAUUUUAUGUCGGCAUUGGCAGGUACAACCGCGCGCACUGCCGCACACGCGUCUCGGUGGAGCAGGCCUUCGGGCAACUGAAGAUGAGGUGGGCGUGCCUCCAAGGCAGCGGGCUGCGGCUCCGACGUGUCGCCGACUCGGUUUUGGCGGUGAUGUCGUGCUGCGUACUGCACAACAUCGCCAAAUUGGCCGGCGACGGAGGCGAAUGGUUGGACCACGAGCGCGACGCCAGAGCGCCGCAGCCUGUCGAGCCGGUGGCCCGGCAGCGUGAGCCAGAGGCAGCGGAGGCGGAGCCAGAAGCAGCUGUGAGGCGCAGAGCUUUCGCUCGGCGCGCGCAGUUUGUCAGGAGGUUCCUGCGGUAGACAGCCGCACGAUGCCAGCCGCCAAUGUGAAGCGUCAGUGUCACGUCUCUCGUGUUUCACGGCCGCCGCUUGCACGCCGUCCGCACACGCGGCAAAUUUGGUUUCCACGGAGACAUCAACAAACUCCAACGCUCCAAAACUAUCACAUCCUGUGACAUCAGCUACCGAAAUGCGCUAGCAGCGUGGUAGCAGCUUCCGUUGUAACACCGCCCAGUUGGUGGUCCACCGGCCGACUGGCCGGUGAGCGGCUGACUGCCUGGAUCCGCCCUCCAGUCACGGUACCAGGCGUGGCCCGGGCGGCGUUACAACGGAAGCUGCUACCACGUUGCUAGCGCAUUUCGGUAGCUGAUGUCACAGGAUGUGAUAGUUUUGGAGCGUUGGAGUUUGUUGAUGUCUCCGUGGAAACCAAAUUUGCCGCGUGUGCGGAUGGCGUGCAAGCGGCGGCUGUGGAACGCCGCCCAGCCGGACGGGUGGCACCGCGUGUCAGCCGGUAGGUUGACCUGGGUAAGCGCAGCCUGUCAUUUGGACCUUUGCUA